AUUGAACGCUGGCGGCAGGCCUAACACAUGCAAGUCGAACGGUAACAGGAAGACGCUUGCUUCUUUGCUGACGAGUGGCGGACGGGUGAGUAAUGUCUGGGAAACUGCCUGAUGGAGGGGGAUAACUACUGGAAACGGUAGCUAAUACCGCAUAACGUCGCAAGACCAAAGAGGGGGACAUUCGGGCCUCUUGCCAUCGGAUGUGCCCCGAUGGGAUUAGCUAGUAGGUGGGGUAACGGCUCACCUAGGCGACGAUCCCUAGCUGGUCUGAGAGGAUGACCAGCCACACUGGAACUGAGACACGGUCCAGACUCCUACGGGAGGCAGCAGUGGGGAAUAUUGCACAAUGGGCGCAAGCCUGAUGCAGCCAUGCCGCGUGUAUGAAGAAGGCCUUCGGGUUGUAAAGUACUUUCAGCGGGGAGGAAGGGAGUAAAGUUAAUACCUUGGCUCAUUGACGUUACCCGCAGAAGAAGCACCGGCUAACUCCGUG
rnacentral:rRNA from 1 species